rnacentral:pre_miRNA from 1 species
UGAUGCAUGCUACUUGGUUUUGUUGUUAUUAUAUUAACAUCACCGGGUAGACAUUCAUUAUA